rnacentral:rRNA from 1 species
GUCGAACGAUGAUGCCCAGCUUGCUGGGCGGAUUAGUGGCGAACGGGUGAGUAAUACGUGAGUAACCUGCCCUUGACUCUGGGAUAAGCCUGGGAAACUGGGUCUAAUACUGGAUACUACCUCUUACCGCAUGGUGGGUGGUGGAAAGGGUUUUACUGGUUUUGGAUGGGCUCACGGCCUAUCAGCUUGUUGGUGGGGUAAUGGCUCACCAAGGCGACGACGGGUAGCCGGCCUGAGAGGGUGACCGGCCACACUGGGACUGAGACACGGCCCAGACUCCUACGGGAGGCAGCAGUGGGGAAUAUUGCACAAUGGGCGGAAGCCUGAUGCAGCGACGCCGCGUGAGGGAUGACGGCCUUCGGGUUGUAAACCUCUUUCAGUAGGGAAGAAGCGAGAGUGACGGUACCUGCAGAAGAAGCGCCGGCUAACUACGUGCCAGCAGCCGCGGUAAUACGUAGGGCGCAAGCGUUGUCCGGAAUUAUUGGGCGUAAAGAGCUCGUAGGCGGUUUGUCGCGUCUGCUGUGAAAGCCCGGGGCUCAACCCCGGGUCUGCAGUGGGUACGGGCAGACUAGAGUGCAGUAGGGGAGACUGGAAUUCCUGGUGUAGCGGUGAAAUGCGCAGAUAUCAGGAGGAACACCGAUGGCGAAGGCAGGUCUCUGGGCUGUUACUGACGCUGAGGAGCGAAAGCAUGGGGAGCGAACAGGAUUAGAUACCCUGGUAGUCCAUGCCGUAAACGUUGGGCACUAGGUGUGGGGGACAUUCCACGUUUUCCGCGCCGUAGCUAACGCAUUAAGUGCCCCGCCUGGGGAGUACGGCCGCAAGGCUAAAACUCAAAGGAAUUGACGGGGGCCCGCACAAGCGGCGGAGCAUGCGGAUUAAUUCGAUGCAACGCGAAGAACCUUACCAAGGCUUGACAUUCACCGGACCGCCCCAGAGAUGGGGUUUCCCUUCGGGGCUGGUGGACAGGUGGUGCAUGGUUGUCGUCAGCUCGUGUCGUGAGAUGUUGGGUUAAGUCCCGCAACGAGCGCAACCCUCGUUCUAUGUUGCCAGCACGUGAUGGUGGGGACUCAUAGGAGACUGCCGGGGUCAACUCGGAGGAAGGUGGGGAUGACGUCAAAUCAUCAUGCCCCUUAUGUCUUGGGCUUCACGCAUGCUACAAUGGCCGGUACAAAGGGUUGCGAUACUGUGAGGUGGAGCUAAUCCCAAAAAGCCGGUCUCAGUUCGGAUUGAGGUCUGCAACUCGACCUC